rnacentral:lncRNA from 1 species
GGCGACAAUCAGAGACAUUCAAGGUGGUUAAGAGUGUCAAAAUAAAAGUCCAAUUCAAAGUUCAGUUUAAAAUGUUGGUUUGGCUAACGUUUCGCACAACAUAUGCCCAUUGUACUGCUAGCUGGCCUAGAUAAAUACAGUGUAUGCUAUAUUGCAUCUGCAAAUAUUGUGAUUUCAUUAAAUUCAAUUCAGUUUUAUUUAGCUAUAUACCUACUGAAAUUGUCUCGAGUCUCAGAAGAAAGGAGAAAUAUACAAUAAAAACACAAUAUAAAUAGAAGAUACUACUACACAGUGUCCUCAUAAGGUUACUAUUAAAAGGAUAAAAAGAGCAAUGAAGCAGAAAACUAUGUUAAACUUCAUCAAAGCAGAUAAGAAUCUUGCAAAUAACCGAGAACGAAAUGAACACUAACCCAUCCGCACUACAUUACAAGCUUUUGACCACUAACCCAUCCAUUUUACAUUACAAGCCUUUGGCCACUAACCCAUCCACAUUACAUUACAAGCCUUUGGAAUUGACCACUAACCCAUCCACAUUACAUUACAAGCCUUUGGAACUGACCACUAACCCAUCCACAUUACAUUACAAGCCUUUGGAAAUGCCCACUAACCCAUCCACAUUACAUUACAAGCCUUUGCCAACUAACCCAUCCACAUUACAUUACAAGCCUUUGACCACUAACCCAUCCACAUUACAUUACAAGCCUUUGCCAACUAACCCAUCCACAUUACAUUACAAGCCUUUGACCACUAACCCAUCCACAUUACAUUACAAGCCUUUGACCACUAACCCAUCCACAUUACAUUACAAGCCUUUGGAAUUGACCACUAACCCAUCCACAUUACAUAACAAGCUUUUGGCCACUAACCCAUCCACAUUACAUUACAAGCCUUUGGAACUGACCACUAACCAAUCCACAUUACAUUACAAGCCUUUGGCCACUAACCCAUCCACAUUACAUUACAAGCCUUUGGCCACUAACCCAUCCACAUUACAUUACAAGCCUUUGACCACUAACCCAUCCACAUUACAUUACAAGCCUUUGGAAUUGACCACUAACCCAUCCACAUUACAUAACAAGCUUUUGGCCACUAACCCAUCCACAUUACAUUACAAGCCUUUGGAACUGACCACUAACCAAUCCACAUUACAUUACAAGCCUUUGGCCACUAACCCAUCCACAUUACAUUGCCUUUGACCACUAACCCAUCUGCAUUACAUUACAAGCCUUUGGCCACUAACUCAUCCACAUUACAUUGCCUUUGGCCACUAACUCAUCCGCAUUACAUUGCCUUUGGCCACUAACCCAUCCACAUUACAUUACAAGCCUUUGACCACUAACCCAUCCACAUUACAUUACAAGCCUUUGGCCACUAACCCAUCCACAUUACAUUACAAGCCUUUGGCCACUCAGACUCACUUAGAGUCAAAGGUCACGCCUACUCCAGUCAAGACAAGCUACCCGUGAACACAGCGGAGUAAAUUGAUGGUUGUCGUAGUGCACAAUGGCUUCCUCUGUUUAACACAUGACAUUUAGUUGAGAUAGAUGUGAUGUGAAAUCUGUCAUCAGAUGUGUGUCUUGAAUAUUGGACUCUAACCUGUAAGUGAUCAAACUGUUUAAGACAGAAGGAACUGAGACGGGAAAUGUCGGGACGACAUUUAGUUAAGCAGGGGAGAAUGUGGCAUACCCCCCCCAUUUUGUCUUUUCUUUGGUCCCUUUUCAUGAUUUUGUGGCCUUUUAUUUUCUUAAGUUACGAUGCUGUUGCAUGUUUUGGCCUAUAGAUGGCGCUGUAAUACCAGGGAUAAUGCAGUUUUCAUGACGGUUAGGAAGAGACCAAAGCUAACCUAGACGGAGUUGUCGAGAGAGACCGAAAGGAAGCAGUCGUUGCUUGUGAAGUGAGCUGUAAUACAUGUAAAGUGUGAAUAAAUGAAGACAACCUUUCCCA